AGAGAGAGAGAGAGAGAGAGAGAGAGAGAGAGAGAGAGAGAUUAACCAAGAAAUCCCUAAAAUUUCUUUCGCAUAAUCAAAGAAAUAAACAUGAAAAUAUAAAGGAAACCAAAGAAAACGUACACACACACACACACACACACACACACACACACACACACACACACACACACACACACACACACACACACACACGUAGCAAUCCCUAUCAUUCCCUAUCAUCUCCCUAUCAGCUUAAGAGGAGAAGGAGGUUAAUAGGUCAGCGUGAGCCAUGAGUGGAUCUAUAUUUUGGCAUCCCAUUAUCCCUUGAACGUGGGGAUGGUGAAUUAAUGACAGGUAUAAAUAGGUGACCAGGUGAGUGCCAAUACCCCUUCCCGGCACUCCAUUACCCCUGCGUGUCGUUUUAAUGGGGAAUGGUAAAUGGUUGAGUUUUUUUUAAUUGGGUGGCUUGAGUUCCUAUUUCUUGGCAUAUGUACGGGGUAGAUGGUGAGUUAAUGGGUGUAGGUAGAAAUAGGUCAGUAAAUGGGUGGGAAGUUGAAAUAAUGGGUAUUUGAAUAUUUUGACAUCCAUUUUCUGUUGAUACCUGAAAUAAUAGGUACUGAUGAAAAUAGGUUAAUGGGGUGAAUGGAUACCAGACCAAAGAUUAAUGGGUGGGUAGGAACGUGAAUGGGAAGGUAAAAAAAUAGUAGGUUAGGAAUAGAUAGGCCUCUCGCUGUACUGAGUUAAUGGACACAGGUAGAAGUAGACUAAUGGGUGUGUGGGGGUGUGGGAGGCAUGGGGGUGGGUGGGUGGGUGGGCCGUGGGUGACGCGUACUGGCACUCCAUUCAUUGGCAGCGCGGCGCAGGUCCCAUGAAUGAACACCUCACUGCCUGGCGCAAGAUUCCCUCAACACCACUACACCCCGCACACACCCCACCCACACCCAACACACACCCCACCCACACCUUACACCCUCUAAAUCCACUGUCUAAUUGAAGGACUGAGGGCUGGAGAGGGCUGGCUUGCGUAGAGGGAAGUGGUGGAGGGGAAGGUGGAAGCGUACGACAGUUUGGGGGAGUUCCGUGCUUCCUUGAGUUCCGAGAGAGCAGGAGAAGCUUUGAUUUUAGUUCCGCUGUGGUCGUGGGGUUGAGGGCUCACCGCGUGUCCCCGGCAGGUGGUGAAAACUAACAAAACACACUACAAUGACAUCAAAAGAGAACAAACUGCACAAAACGAGAUAGAAAAACAGACCCCACGAACGCACCAAGCCUCCCUAACCACACUCACGAGCCAGCCACUCUCCCACACUCCCUCACUCACUCCCACACUCCCAACCCAAGUGAGAGGAGCAGAAACGCACCACCAUCACGCAACUCAAGGGACACCAAGACCUCGGUGGUGUUGCGUGCGGCGGAGGAGUGUGGCGGGGUCGAGGCUUGCGUUGUUCUGUGUGCUGCGGGGGGGCGUGGGGCCGCGGGACACGCCCUGGCGCUGGGGACGGGGUGGCAGAGGCGGCGGCAGGCGGAGGAAGCGGCGGCGAAGGUGGAGGCGGAGGGGGUGGCGGUAUGCUUGUCCACACGCCCCACGGGAAGCUAGUGAGGAUCGUCAGUGUGGAAUGGGUGGCGGAUGACUGGCCUUCCUUCCCCUCCCUCCCUUCCUCCUUGUCACGCCCAGACGGUGCUCCAGUCAGCGGUGGGCGUCCAGGUGGUGGUGGUGGCGGUGGUGGGCGUUGCAGUGUUUGGGGUACGACACGUUUUCCUUGCUGUGGGCAUGU